rnacentral:lncRNA from 1 species
CUUUUCCGCGGGAAAAAUUAUUAGUAUCCACAUUUUAUGCAGUAUCUAUAGAAAUUUGAUGUACUUGAGUAUUUCUUGACUAAAAAAAGAAUGUGUGUGUACUUUGUACGCACGUAAGAAGUUAUAAUUCUAUUAUAUGAUUUAAACGAAAUUAAUAUACUUUUUAUUUAUAUUUUGUUUAAAUAUUAAACUAAUUUAUACUUACUACUUCUCAAACAUUUUUAUUAGAACAGUGCCAAAAAUUUAAAUAAUAAAAGAAUAAAACACACACAAACACAUUAAACAAGCCACAAAUGAUGUCUGAACAUUAAUUGUCGAAAAUUUUUUUAACUAAAUACGUAUUUUCUGAAAAUACAAUUAUAUAAUAAAUAUACUUACAAUCAUAAAAUGUAUUAAAAAAAACAAAAAAGAAAGUUUCUAUUGGGACUCGAACCAGCGCUGAUAAGAGCGGUUGGUAUUGGAAUUCAUUCGCCUUCUCCGCUUAGCCACGGACACUAUGUGUCAUUAUUUACGAAGAUCGACUAACUAAACGGAUUAAACUUGUGAUAUUUUGAUAUUUUGAAAAUUGAUCAAAUUAUUUUAAUUUUGAAUUGAAAUGAUUUAGAAUUGAAAAAAUACAACAAAACAGAGUAAAAAAACAAUAUAUUAGGUGAAUAUUGAUAGAAAUUUUGAUGGCAAUCAAAUAUUAUAUAAAUAAAAGUAUUACAUACUAUGUAUUUUGGCAGAUCAAAUAGGUAGGUUUAUACCCAUGAUACAUUAACAAUUAUUACGUACCUGUUGCUUUUAAACUAUUUAAAAGUCACUACAAUAUUAUAAACUUUUUCGUUUCUGUCCUCACAACAAUAAAACUAAUAUAUUAUACAUUUGUUUACCUUUACCUUUACCUCCAAACCACAGCUGCCAUAUCGGAUAAUUUUUGACAUGUCAUUUGAACAUCCAAUCAGAACAAAGUUAUAAUGCGCAUGCGCCGGGCUGAUAGGUUUUAACAUAUAAAAAAAUCACCCUCUAUCGCCGGUAAAGAAGUAUAACUUCAAAAAUUCGAUUUUUUAAUUAUAGAAGUUCUGAAUAUCUGUUAUUUUCAUUUUCAUGGUUUUCUUCUGAAACUUAUAAAGUAUUUAUCCAAAUUUUCAGCUCAUAAUUUUUAUUUUUAUUUCAUCAACAUCAUCAUCAUCAACAACUUUUUCAUUUAUUUUGCUGAUUUCUGUUAUUUCUAUUUUGUGUUCGGUCUUCGGUACAAGUUGUUGUCCAUUUUUGAUAAAAUCUUGUAUUUUCUUGCUGAAUUUUUUAAUUUUCUAUUCUUGUGCUGUUAAUAUUAUAGAAUUCAUUAAUUUUUAUUUAGGGUUUCAAGGUUUGACUCAUUGUCUAUUUGUUCAGUAAGUUCUGUCAGGUUUUGUUCGUAUUCGAUUUUCUCUAUUUUAGUUCGUACUUAUACAGUGAGGAUGUUUAGGUUGGAAUAAAUGCAUUUUCUCCAGAAGAGGUCAUUUUGGAGAUAAAUUCCUAAACAGGUCUAUUUUAUUUUUCUAGUUGAAAUUAUCGAUAUAAAUGUAUCAAUUAACAUUACAUUACAUAGUUUCCCAUCUUUAGGCAUCUGACAGGAGUAUUUUAUAAAAUUCUACUGUUAGAGUGACAGAUGUCGUACUCCUCUCAUACGUCUAAAAGUGGGAAAUUAUGCAAUGUAAUCUUAAUUUAUACAGUUAUAUUGAUAAUUUACACCUCUACUACUUUCAUCUCUUUUUACUUCACAAUGUAUUGUUUCCCAUCUUUUGCGUAACCGACAUUUUGUCGGUUAUUAGCGCUCUCAUCACUAUCCGCAGGGAGCGUUAACUUUGACACAUGGUCACGUGGUACACUGUGGAUGUUUGUGGGACGAUCUUAUGUGUAUUCCUUAUGGGUGAUUUGCAAAAACAAGAUAUUAUUUAAAAUAUUACUAUUAAUUUUGUACAAUUGUAUCAAUACAUCACAAGAAAUUCGCUAUAAAUACUAUAUAUGGUAGAAAAUGUCUGAUAUAAUACAUAAAUAUAAUUUCGAUAUACAAACUGAGGAAGAUAUUUUUAGGUUAACAGCCGAAAUGUGAGGUUACGGCUGUCAAGAAGGACUUCGUAAAUGCAAACAAAAGUUGCAAAGCCAGAAUUUGCCCAAUCUCAAAGCCUUUUUAAUUCCUAUAAAGUUGAAAUGUUGCUUCCUCUGCUUAAGUAUACUGUUUUUAACAUAAUACCACCAUAAUUCGGUCUUAAAUUUGUAUGAAAUAUAGUUUUUUAGUGAUAUUCACCAAGCAAAGUUUACAAACUUUUGUGACCCAUUCUAUUUUGUAUAAUAAAAAUGGUAAUGUGCUUUGCCCCGGAUUGUACACAAUAUUGUGAAAGAGGGAUAUGUAGAUUCUUUGUUGUUCCCAGGAUCUGGUUGAAAAGAAGACAUUGAUUUCAUUACUAAGGCACCCAGGAGAAGGGCAUGGCCCUAACCCUCAAAUAUGAGUAUUAUAGAAAAUUUACAGUUACCCAGGCAACCAUCCAAUGAGAAUCGUAGGAAAAUUAACAAUUCCACAGACAAUCAUCCAGUGACCACAUUGUCUCUUUUUGGACAUACCAUCUGACGCUUUCUGAAGAUCUUGGGGUGUAAAUAACCCAGGACAGCACCGGAAGAAGCCGUCAGACCACAGGCUAAAUUCCUUAUUAAAAUCUAUAGCUUGCCUAUAAACAGAGACAGACUAUUUUUAUAUAAAAUAACUUCAUUAGUUCUAACAUGUAGAUCUUGAACUGUGACCAUAAUAAAAUGAGAAAAUAAAGUGUUUAUACUGAA